rnacentral:misc_RNA from 1 species
GGAAACUUCAUUGGAUUGGGUGGGAUCAUUUAUGUGAGACAAAGGAGAAUGGUGGUUUGAGUUUUCGAGAUAUGGAGAGUUUUAACCAAGCUUUAUUGGCCAAACAAGGAUGGAGAAUUCUUACCAAACCUAAUGCCUUACUAUCCCGUGUUUUGAAAGGGAAAUACUUUCGUUAUUCUUCUUUUUUGCAGGUUAGACAGGGGAGAAGACCCUCAUGGGGAUAGCAAAGUAUUUUAUGGGGAAGACAAGCGCUUAAUAAAGGCAUUCGAUGGAAUGUGGGUGAUGGAAGUGCAAUUCUUUGCAAGAAGGAUUGUUGGGUUCCGAAUCUAUUUCCUCCUGCACCAUGGGUCCUUCCAACUCAUCAACAAGAGGUAGUUUGGGUAUCUCAACUUCUUCAACCACCUUGAGAAGUUGGGAUAUUCAAACUCUUUGUACUAACUUUCAUGAAGAAGACAUUGAACAAAUUCUGGCGGAUAUUCAAACUCUUUGUACUAACUUUCAUGAAGAAGACAUUGAACAAAUUCUGGCAAUUCCAGUUAGCCUGUCUUAGAGAGAAGAUCAUUUGUUUUGGCAUUUUGAUUCUCAUGGA